AUGGUUGAACUUUCACAAUCGCAGAUGCUUUCUGCUUCUGCAAGGGAAAGGGAACUGCAAUCUCAGAUUAUCAAUAUGCAACUAAGGAUUAGGCAGCUUCUUGACGACUUGCAGGAACAGAAAAAUAAAAAUUCUGAGCUGGAAGGACAAUUAAGCAUUUUGUUCAACAAAGGCUAGGAGCAGCAGACCAUUUUUACGCCUCACCUGCCCCAAAGUAUAAAAAGGAAUCCCCUGCAUGUAUACUCCAUCAUAUUUGUGAGAAGCUACAAAAGGAAAAAAGGGUCGGAAGACCCAAUUUAAGUUUCAA
rnacentral:misc_RNA from 1 species